CCUACGGGAGGCUGCAGUGGGGGAUAUUGCACAAUGGGGGAAACCCUGAUGCAGCGAUGCCGCGUGAAUGAAGACGGCCUUCGGGUUGUAAAGUUCUGUCGCAGGGGACGAAAAUGACGGUACCCUGCAAGAAAGCUCCGGCUAACUACGUGCCAGCAGCCGCGGAAAUACGUAGGGAGCAAGCGUGGUCCGGAAUUACGGGGGGAAAGGGGAGCGUAGGGGGGAGGAUAAGUUGAAUGUGAAAUCCAUGGGCUCAACCGAUAGCUGCGUUCAAAACUGUUCUUCUUGAGUGAAGUAGAGGCAGGUGGAAUUCCUAGUGUAGCGGUGAAAUGCGUAGAUAUUAGGAGGAACAGCAGUGGCGAAGGCGGCCUGCUGGGCCUUUACUGACGCUGAGGCUCGAAAGCGUGGGUAGCAAACAGGAUUAGAUACCCCUGUAGUC
rnacentral:rRNA from 1 species